AUUGAACGCUGGCGGCAGGCUUAACACAUGCAAGUCGAGCGGGGUGAUGGUGCUUGCACUAUCACUUAGCGGCGGACGGGUGAGUAAUGCUUCGGAAUCUGCCUAUUAGUGGGGGACAACAUCCUGAAAGGGAUGCUAAUACCGCAUACGUCCUACGGGAGAAAGCAGGGGAUCACUUGUGACCUUGCGCUAAUAGCUGAGCCUAAGUCGGAUUAGCUAGUUGUUGGGGUAAAGGCCUACCAAGGCGACGAUCUGUAGCGGGUCUGAGAGGAUGAUCCGCCACACUGGGACUGAGACACGGACCAGACUCCUACGGGAGGCGGCAGUGGGGAAUAUUGGACAAUGGGGGGAACCCUGAUCCAGCCAUGCCGCGUGUGUGAAGAAGGCCUUAUGGUUGUAAAGCACUUUAAGCGAGGAGGAGGCUCUUUUGGUUAAUACCCAAGAUGAGUGGACGUUACUCGCAGAAUAAGCACCGGCUAACUCUGUGCCAGCCGCCGCUGUAA
rnacentral:rRNA from 1 species